GAUGAAGAACGUAGCGAAAUGCGAUAAGUAGUGUGAAUUGCAGAAUUCAGUGAAUCAUCGAAUCUUUGAACGCACAUUGCGCCCCUUGGUAUUCCAUGGGGCAUGCCUGUUCGAGCGUCAUCUACACCCUCAAGCUCUGCUUGGUGUUGGGCGUCUGUCCCGCCUCUGCGCGCGGACUCGCCCCGAAUGCAUUGGCAGCGUCCCUUGCCCCCUCUCGCGCAGCACAUUGCGCUUCUCGAGGGCGGCUCCGGGGCGCGACCCACCGAAGAUGACCACCGUCUUUGACCUCGGAUCAGGUAGGGAUACCCGCUGAACUUAAGCAUAUCAAUAAGCGGAGGA
rnacentral:misc_RNA from 1 species